UCCGCCCGGGGACUACAAGCAUAAGCUUAAAACCCAAAGGACUUGGCGGUGCUUUAGACCCACCUAGAGGAGCCUGUUCUAGAACCGAUAACCCUCGUUAAACCUCACCCUUUCUUGUCAAAUCUACCGCCUAUAUACCGCCGUCGUCAGCUUACCUUGUGAAAGAAUAAUAGUAAACAAAAACGGUCUAACCCAAAACGUCAGGUCGAGGUGUAGCGAAUGAAGGGGGAAGAAAUGGGCUACAUUUCCUAAAACAGGAAAUCACGAAGUAUCAUAAUGAAAAAAUAUAUGAAGGAGGAUUUAGCAGUAAAUGGGAAACAGAGUGUCCC
rnacentral:rRNA from 1 species